rnacentral:rRNA from 1 species
UGGGUAACCUGCCUCAAAGAGGGGAAUAGCCUCCCGAAAGGGAGAUUAAUACCGCAUAAUAUGUUUUGGUCGCAUGAUCGAAACAUCAAAGGAGUAAUCCGCUUUGUGAUGGACCCGCGGCGCAUUAGCUAGUUGGUGAGGUAACGGCUCACCAAGGCGACGAUGCGUAGCCGACCUGAGAGGGUGAUCGGCCANAUUGGAACUGAGACACGGUCCAGACUCC